AUUGAACGCUGGCGGCAUGCCUUACACAUGCAAGUCGAACGGCAGCACGGGUGCUUGCACCUGGUGGCGAGUGGCGAACGGGUGAGUAAUAUAUCGGAACGUACCUUAUUGUGGGGGAUAACGCAGCGAAAGCUGUGCUAAUACAGCAUAAUCCCUUAGGGGGAAAGCGGGGGACCGUAAGGCCUCGCGCAAUUAGAGCGGCCGAUACCUGCUUAGCUAGUUGGUGAGGUAAAGGCUCACCAAGGCGACGAUCAGUAGCUGGUCUGAGAGGACGAUCAGCCACACUGGGACUGAGACACGGCCCAGACUCCUACGGGAGGCAGCAGUGGGGAAUUUUGGACAAUGGGGGCAACCCUGAUCCAGCAAUGCCGCGUGAGUGAAGAAGGCCUUCGGGUUGUAAAGCUCUUUUGUCAGGGAAGAAACAGCAGCUCUAACACAGUAUGCGAAUGACGGUACCUGAAGAAUAAGCACCGGCUAACUACGUGCCAGCAGCCGCCGUAA
rnacentral:rRNA from 1 species